UACGUAGGCCCCGAGCGUUGUCCGGAUUUAUUGGGCGUAAAGCGAGCGCAGGUGGUUUAUUAAGUCUGGUGUAAAAGGCAGUGGCUCAACCAUUGUAUGCAUUGGAAACUGGUAGACUUGAGUGCAGGAGAGGAGAGUGGAAUUCCAUGUGUAGCGGUGAAAUGCGUAGAUAUAUGGAGGAACACCGGUGGCGAAAGCGGCUCUCUGGCCUGUAACUGACACUGAGGCUCGAGAGCGUGGGGAGCAAACAGG
rnacentral:rRNA from 1 species